UACGAAGGGGGCUAGCGUUGCUCGGAAUUACUGGGCGUAAAGGGCGCGUAGGCGGGCUGUCAAGUCUGGGGUGAAAUCCCGCGGCUCAACCGUGGAACUGCCUCAGAUACUGACGGCCUCGAGGGAGAUAGGGGCGAGCGGAACUGAUGGUGGAGCGGUGAAAUGCGUAGAUAUCAGAAGGAACGCCGGUGGCGACAGCGACGCACUGGAUCUCUACUGACGCUGAGGCGCGAAAGCUAGGGGAGCGAACGGG
rnacentral:rRNA from 1 species